CUUCAUUGAAGACCUAAGUUGCCCCUCCCAGGGUUGGGUUGAUGUAGCUCAACCCAAGUGCUGCUUGGAGCUAAGGAGGAUCAGGACUGGAUGCUGGAGAGCAGAGAUGAAGAAUAUCAACUAUGGCCUCAGGGCCAGCAGGGAUGCUGGUUUUUCCUCGGCUAAUAGCCAUUUGCAACAGGGUCAAGAUUUAUGCCAGCUGGAAUCUCACAGGAUAUCAGUCACAUUGCUUUCUUCUAAGCAAUUGCUUACCCUUACAAGAAAAGGAGCAGGAACAUUGAAAGGAAAAUGACAUAUUUAGCUUAGGGUUCUGCAUGACAAAUGGCUCUUGAUAACCUUCCCCCAUCAAUUCUGGGAGAGUAGACAAAAGCAAAGAAAACAAAUUGACUACAGACAUCGACAUUCAUCCUACUUGAAGAGAGAACCAGUCUGUGUGAAAAACAGAGUAAACUUCAAAAGAAUCCAGCAAUUGCCCUGAACUGACCCAUAAAGAGAAAUUAGAAAUCGAAAGUUGAAAAUUAGGAAGCUCAAGAGUGAAUCUGAGGACUGAUGUGCUCCACACAUUACCUUCAAGACUGUUUAGUUUAAACAAAGUAUAGCUCAUUUCAAUAAAUGGACAAUGGUUGGAUUCUGCUUCAUUAGUAGUCAAUCUCAAUGAAUCUGUUCCACAUAUUACCUUCAAGGUUAUUUACUUUUUCUUCUCCAGGACACAGUGCUUAGAAAAAUCAAAUAGAAAAGCCACCAAGCUUACCAUUUCAACCAAGGAUAAAUAUAAGAACAUCCCAGCAGUGACUGUGAAGAUCCAGUCUUGAACACAUGGAUCAGCUGACACGGAAAGGCCAAUGUAUAAUCCCAUGAAGGCAGUUAGGGAGCUUAUAAAAUUCAUCAGGAUGGCAGUCUUCAUAGAAAGUCCAGAGCUUAAGAGCACGGCAAAGUCUCCUGAAGUUUAAGAGGAAAGGAAAAUAUAAUUAUCAUUUAAUGGAAGAUGCCUUUGCUAAAGUAACGC
rnacentral:antisense_RNA from 1 species